rnacentral:tRNA from 1 species
UCUAUGAUGAUUCAGUGGUAAAAUUCUCACCUUCCGUGUGAGAGACCCAGGUUCGAUUCCCGGCCAAAGCA